CGAGAGCAAGGGAGCACAGUCUAGGAGGACUGGAGAAACUCUGAGGUGGGGUAGCUGGGGAGAAGUACAGCAAAGAACUUGGAGAAAAGAUUCUGUAUAUAUCUCUCAAAGCACUUCUAAGUGACAUGGAACUGCCUGGCCUAUGGGAGGGGCAGAAGUAGUUUCGAUUUUUGAAGGGAACCUAAACACCUUGGGAUGUUCAAAGAUGGAACCUAAUUCAAGAAUAGACUUUGUCUUCAAUGGCCAAAGACAGCCACAGCCAAACCAUCUGGAGAUUUAUUGGAAAUUCCUGAAGAUUUUGUAUGCAGACAAUGGUGCCAUCCGUGAAAAGAGUUUUAUUUCUUCUCUUCCAAUUGAUCUCUGCCCACCACUCUUAACCCCCAACCCACAAGAUUGCCUGCCCCAGUCCUAGAAAGCAUUAAUAGCGAGUUGCCAUUCUUGCUGCCUGCUGCUGCUUCCGCUCAGAAAAGCCCCUCUGAAGAAGGACAGGGAAUGAGGCCCGAGGAGGAUAUGUUUCUCAAAAUCACAGAGGACCUUGGCUUGAAUGCAAACCUAACUCUAAAAUGUGUCUACUGGAGGUAGGUUGAUUUCUUCUCUUGCCUUGUGUGUGCUUCUCCAGAGCAAGUGUGACAAAGUGUG